AGCUGGUUGACAUUUCAGAGGUUUUCCUGUUCAGAUUAGGAGCACCACCCUAGUACUGCCUGGAUGAGCAUGAUGGUACGGGACCUGGUGCAGACAGACACACAGGUGAUUUAUAGGACACAACAGCAACCUGCCCUGACCUUGAUAGACGUGUAUGACAUUCAGAAGCAGCAGAAGCCGGAAAGAUGAGUUUGGGAUUGGUUUCCCUGGAUGGAUAGGUG
rnacentral:lncRNA from 1 species